GGUACCAAUAAUUUGUUGCUGCACGCACACACCCACACAGACGCACAGCCACCAUGUCGCAGCCGUACAGCGCCGUGGCAGACGCAACGGGCAAGGCGUACGUGGAUAUUCGAGUGUGCGACCUCCUCGUCCAGCAGGGCAGCAUGCCAAAGGGCUGGACAGCGACUUCCAGAUUGACGGGCUGUACGUGGUGCUUCGCUGCCAAGGGGACGUGCGCCGCACCAGCUGUCUGUGGUCCUCUGCGUCUGGCGCAUCGCCGGCGGCGCUUCGCGGCUCCGCCACGCAGCGGGGCGCUGCUGCGGGUGCGUGCGAGGCGCAGAGUGACGAUGCCCUCGUGUGGAACGAGAUGUUCCGCGUUGUCGUCCCCCCAGCGCUGCCCCUCAGCACUCCUGCCACCUCACCGCGUGGUCCGCACUCACCGUCCUCUGCGGACGGAGGAGACCCUCAGGGAGGAUUCUCUGCCCCCUACACCCCUCCGCUCACCGGAGCGGCAGCGCCAGUGGCGCCGGCGGCGGACUGCGUGACAUGUCCGGUGGCAUCGCACUGCCCAUGUCCACGGCAGCAUCCGGUGGAAUGAGGCGACUGGCAGCAGCGGUUUUCCUGUCUCCUACGCACCACAGCCUUCCUCCCUUGUCAUCUCGACCCCUUCACUGCACAGCGCGGCCGCCCAGCAGCAGUCCUCAGGGGACGGCAAUGGCGCAAGAGCCACUGAGGUCGGGGCGAGCCACGCUCCUCUCUUUUACCCCGCCAUUGAGCUUGAGCUGUGGCGCAGCGCUCCGCUCUCAGAAACCUGCUGGGCCGGUACACGUACCAUGUCCCAAUGGAGCUGAUGCAAGGCGGAUAUGCCCUCAGCAACCUCGAUGCAGUGGUGGAGCGGGUGGUUCUGCUGCGCACCAAGGAGGCGCCGAGCAUCAUGGGCAACCUCUACGGAUGGAGCGGGCAUCGGCUCAGCUUGCGGCUGCGGGUGCAAGCGGUGGGGCUGGCGCCCUUGAUGGCUGCAUGGUUCCCCAGCAAGGCAGUGAGGCGACGAUGACCGCAGCGAGCACGAUCGGCAGUGCCGCUUACCCGGUGCCCUUCCCAACGGGCAUGCUGGGUAACACCGUGACCGGUGGGCCUCCGUACGUGGCAGCGGGUGUCUACGGUGCACCCCUGGGCACGCUCAAUCCGGUACUGGUAAACCUCCUCGCCCCACUGGGUGUGCCCACCGGGGGAAGCGGUGCGGGACAGCUUGCACCUACUAUGAUGAUGUCGAUGCCUGGAGGCAUGGGCGGCGACAACUUGCACAAGCCUGGCCAGCCGCCUUUCUUCUCGAUGUUCCCUCCCGCAUCCGAAGCCGCUGCCAACGUUGGGGGGAGAAUGUUUCACCCUGAUGUUCCCGGGGUGCUGCCAGCCACCCCACAGUCCUCUGGCCAAGGCAUUCUUGGCGAUGGCGACUUGACGUGGCAGUCAGCACCACUCAGCCGACUGUGUACCCUCCGUAUCGGCUCCCAAGGUAAAGAGAGCAGAAGCCCAAAGACGGGAUGUGAGGGAUGGUUAUGGAGGAUGAGUGCGAACCUGUCGGUUUUCCGACGCAGAAGAAGCACUGCUUACAGCGGCGAAGGGGGGAGGGCGUGUUCCUUGGGUCCCCAUGCACCUCUCUCCUCCCGCGCUCUUUUGGUGGCGAUGGUGCAGGCGCUGCUGAACCCUUGCGCCCCACCCGCUCUUUGCUGCAUACGCACCGUUCUCCUUUUCCGGAGGGCUAUACUGCCCCUCAUGAAGCGGGGGGACACCUC
rnacentral:misc_RNA from 1 species